rnacentral:rRNA from 1 species
UAAAUAGCCCGGCCGGCUUUGGCUGGUCGCUGGCUUCUUAGAGGGACUAUCGGCGUUUAGCCGAUGGAAGUUGGAGGCAAUAACAGGUCUGUGAUGCCCUUAGAUGUUCUGGGCCGCACGCGCGCUACACUGACAGAGCCAGCGAGUUCUUUUCCUUGACCGGAAGGUCUG